CCCUAAAUCAACCACCAACGGUUAAGCGCGAGGGUUGUGAGGUGAGCUAACCUACUGCUAACGCCGGGUCAAACUGAGUAAGACGACGCCGCUGGAUCCGGAGUCUGUCGAAUAACUUCACCGCGGUCCGAAACCGUGUUUAUAAAGAAACAUUUCUACAGUUUAAAAGUGUAAUUUUAAAUUGUCGCAAUACAUCUUGCGGCCGUCAGAGUCAGCUCUGAACAGCACUGUCGUCGGUGGACGAGGACGACAUUUUGAAACGCUUCAUUAGAGUGUCGUGUGGUCGUUAACGUUACAUUAGGAUUACACCUCUUUACCUCCUGAUGGGUCGCUGAGAAGUUCGCCUUCCCUCCGUGGAACUGCAAGGGAUCGUCGGUGGACAACGACACACACAGGCCUUUCUGUAGGAACUCUCGUAGAGGGUUCUUGGAGUACUGCAGGAACAGGCUGUUGUUGCUCAGUGGGGACAUGGCGAUCGGGACCUGGGCCAGGUAGUACAGACUGAGCUCUGCAUCAGAAAAGGCUGCUGGGCCCCAGUUGGUGAUCCGCUGCUGUCCCUUGGAACCUUGCAGGGAGGAAAUCAAAGAGACUUUUCACCAAAGAGGUCCAUCCUGUAGCGGUCCUGGAGUUCAGUUUGGGUUUGAAGUCGCCUUCGUUCUUCUUCUGCUGCAUCAGCUGCCGCCUCCUCCAGAGCCUGACCAAAAGAAAAAGGUCCUCGCCGACGUAGUACAAGAUGGCGUUUGGCUUCAGCAUGAACCAGCGCUCCGUCCAGUUCUUCCUCUUGUGACCUUUCUUCAUCAUGUAGCCCUGCAGAGAGAAAGGAGGACAUGAAUCAGGAUAAUUUAAAC